GGUCUCACAAGGUCAAGAUGAAGCUGUGCGCAAUUGUCCUCGUAUUCAGCUCGCUGCUGUACUUGAAAAGUGGCACAACGUCAGCGAGCACCGACAUCGUUGGAGACGCCCAAGACGCAUUCGAGCAAGAACUUUUGAAGACCCUUGAAGUCCCUGAUCGCUGUUCCCAGAAAGCUGCAGCGCGUGUCAUGAACGGGUGUUUGAAGGAGGUUGGGGAUGACACCGCAUUGGA